UGGGGUAAGGGACCAUCUCCUUUCUCAUGGGGGAUUUUUAGGCCGAUGGUGCCGACUCUGCCUCUCCCAUACUAGACUAUGCAUGGGAGGCUAAGGUGGUGCCGGCGAGGUCUUCAGUGUGGGCCUCAUUAGCAUGUUGUAUUCCUUAGACAGUAGUGACAAAGGCUUGCACUUAGCAUACAAGCGAGUUGAACUAUUUUGCAUCUACCC
rnacentral:lncRNA from 1 species